rnacentral:rRNA from 1 species
UNUGACUUGAGUGCAGAAGGGGAGAGUGGAAUUCCAUGUGUAGCGGUGAAAUGCGUAGAUAUAUGGAGGANCACCAGUGGCGAAAGCGGCUCUCUGGUCUGUCACUGACGCUGAGGCUCGAAAGCGUGGGUAGCGAACAGGAUUAGAUACCCUGGUAGUNCACGCCGUAAACGAUGAGUGCUAGGUGUUAGGCCCNUUCCGGGGCUUAGUGCCGGAGCUAACGCAAUAAGCACUCCGCCUGGGGAGUACGACCGCAAGGUUGAAACUCAAAGGAAUUGACGGGGGCCCGCACAAGCGGUGGAGCAUGUGGUUUAAUCCGAAGCAACGCGAAGAACCUUACCAGGUCUUGACAUCCCGAUGCUAUUCUUAGAGAUAGGAAGUUACUUCGGUACAUCGGAGACAGGUGGUGCAUGGUUGUCGUCAGCUCGUGUCGUGAGAUGUUGGGUUAAGUCCCGCAACGAGCGCAACCCUUAUUGUUAGUUGCCAUCAUUAAGUUGGGCACUCUAGCGAGACUGCCGGUAAUAAACCGGAGGAAGGUGGGGAUGACGUCAAAUCAUCAUGCCCCUUAUGACCUGGGCUACACACGUGCUACAAUGGUCGGUACAACGAGUUGCGAGCCGGUGACGGCAAGCUAAUCUCUGAAAGCCGAUCUCAGUUCGGAUUGGAGGCUGCAACUCGCCUCCAUGAAGUCGGAAUCGCUAGUAAUCGCGGAUCAGCACGCCGCGGUGAAUACGUUCCCGGGCCUUGUACACACCGCCCGUCACACCACGAGAGUUUGUAACACUCGGAGUCGGUGAGGUAACC